rnacentral:rRNA from 1 species
UGGGGAAUAUUGCACAAUGGGGGAAACCCUGAUGCAGCGACGCCGCGUGAACGAAGAAGGUAUUCGUAUCGUAAAGUUCUGUCCUAUGGGAAGAUAAUGACAGUACCAUAGAAGAAAGCUCCGGCUAAAUACGUGCCAGCAGCCGCUGUAAUACGUAUGGAGCGAGCGUUGUCCGGAAUUAUUGGGCGUAAAGGGUACGCAGGCGGUUUAAUAAGUCGAAUGUUAAAGAUCGGGGCUCAACCCCGCAAAGCAUUGGAAACUGAUAAACUUGAGUAGUGGAGAGGAAAGUGGAAUUCCUAGUGUAGUGGUGAAAUACGUAGAUAUUAGGAGGAAUACCAGUAGCGAAGGCGACUUUCUGGACACAAACUGACGCUGAGGUACGAAAGCGUGGGGAGCAAACAGG